CGCUGUCAGUUGUGUUUUUGUGUGUGUGUGUGUGUGUGUGUGCUGUGAUCUGACAACACAGGACUGAACCUACCUCGUCAAACAAGGAGAACACUUUAUAAAAGUUUCAGUGCUUGUUCAAUAUUGUUUUGGAACUUGGACUGACAUCAACAGAGGGGCUGGUGAGUACAUGAACUCACAUGGAGGUACAACAUGAUGGUCCUUCCAACGGAACACUUUACCGCUACUAGGCUGCUGUCAUCAGCUGCAGCCCUGAAUUUUCCUUUCUCAGCUGCAGUUAAAUACAGCAUCCUUGCUUUGUCCGUCUCUCUUCUCCUUCUGGCACUGGGAAUUUUGGUCUGGCAGGCCUUCAGAUGCUUUCGAAGUCAACACACCACACGCAGUCUGCUUGAAGCAGCGAAUGGGGAGUUGCUUUACGCAAAUGACGAAUCUCAAGCAUCACGACAAUACAAAGGAAUCCCAACUAUUAAGGUGAGAAGCCAUGGCAGGAAAAGAGUGAAACCACGUCUGUGAUGUUGAAAAUAAAUGAGGUCUGGGGUUGAUA